UGGGGAAUUUUGGACAAUGGGCGAAAGCCUGAUCCAGCAAUGCCGCGUGUGCGAAGAAGGCCUUCGGGUUGUAAAGCACUUUUGUCCGGAAAGAAAUACGCCUGGUUAACACCCGGGCGGGAUGACGGUACCGGAAGAAUAAGCACCGGCUAACUACGUGCCAGCAGCCGCGGUAAUACGUAGGGUGCAAGCGUUAAUCGGAAUUACUGGGCGUAAAGCGUGCGCAGGCGGCGAUGCAAGACAGGUGUGAAAUCCCCGGGCUUAACCUGGGAACUGCACUUGUAACUGCAUGGCUAGAGUGCGUCAGAGGGGGGUGGAAUUCCGCGUGUAGCAGUGAAAUGCGUAGAGAUGCGGAGGAACACCGAUGGCGAAGGCAGCCCCCUGGGAUGACACUGACGCUCAGGCACGAAAGCGUGGGGAGCAAACAGGAUUAGAUACCCUGGUAGUCCACGCCCUAAACGAUGUCAACUAGUUGUCGGGGAUUCAUUUCCUUGGUAACGCAGCUAACGCGUGAAGUUGACCGCCUGGGGAGUACGGCCGCAAGGUUAAAACUCAAAGGAAUUGACGGGGACCCGCACAAGCGGUGGAUGAUGUGGAUUAAUUCGAUGCAACGCGAAAAACCUUACCUGCGCUUGACAUGCCAGGAACCCUCCAGAGAUGGAGGGGUGCCCGAAAGGGAGCCUGGACACAGGUGCUGCAUGGCUGUCGUCAGCUCGUGUCGUGAGAUGUUGGGUUAAGUCCCGCAACGAGCGCAACCCUUAUCCUUAGUUGCUACGCAAGGGCACUCUAGGGAGACUGCCGGUGACAAACCGGAGGAAGGUGGGGAUGACGUCAAGUCCUCAUGGCCCUUAUGCGCAGGGCUUCACACGUCAUACAAUGGUCGGUACAGAGGGCAGCCAACCCGCGAGGGGGAGCCAAUCCCAGAAAACCGAUCGUAGUCCGGAUUGCAGUCUGCAACUCGACUGCAUGAAGUCGGAAUCGCUAGUAAUCGCGGAUCAGAAUGUCGCGGUGAAUACGUUCCCGGGUCUUGUACACACCGCCCGUCACACCAUGGGAGUGGGUUCUACCAGAAGCGGGUAGCCUAACCGCAAGGAGGGCGCUUGCCACGGUAGGGCUCAUGACUGGGGUGAAGUCGUAACAAGGUAGCCGUAUCGGAAGG
rnacentral:rRNA from 1 species